GCACUGAACUGAAUUGAGGUGUGCAGACGAUCAAUGACUCGGACAAUCGCUCAACCUGAUGUGUGCAUGACCUCAGAAACCCGAGAGCUUGAUCCCUGUAAGAGCUUCUGAACUCCUGCGGGGGAAACAGGGCUGGCUGGAGAUCUGGCUCAGGUCGGAGAUGACUUUCACUUCUCUAAUUGGAUUUGCUGCUGCCAGUGUGGAGUUCACAGCCAGGGCUGGACGCACGCCAGUCCACUGCAUCUGGGUUCGGUCUUUUAAGCUUCAGCGCUUCACUGAUUCUCAUUCAUUACGCUGGCAUGUGUAGGCGUUAACUCAGAAUAGGGAGAUUGGAGGAACAGUACAGAGUGACUGUGAAUGCAGGUGAAAGAUCUGCUGCGGUGAUUUCACUCAACAAUCACAACUGUGAUGAUGCUCUGGAGACGAGGGGCGAUUCCAGGCCAUGUUUAAUCCACAGACUCUGUUGAAUCAUCCCAGCAUGUGAUGGAAUAACCACAGGUCUGCUUAAAUACAUUUGUUGACUCACCUUUUCAAUUACAGGACAGACAGCAGCGCUUUCCUUUUGGACGGCACAUCUGAAUGCAUAAACAUCCACAUGGUAUUGAUUUACUCCCUCUGGGUUCAGGAAAUUAGAUCACAUGACCAGUGCAGUAUGUUUUAAUUCUAAUGGGUUUCCAAUAAAUGUAAAGACAAACGAUGACACAAAAUACAGCUUCAUUGAGUGAUGCAAUCCACAUGUUUCUUAA